GACGAACGCUAGCGGCAGGCUUAACACAUGCAAGUCGAACGCAUCCUUCGGGGUGAGUGGCAGACGGGUGAGUAACGCGUGGGAACGUGCCCUUCAGUUCGGGAUAACCCAGGGAAACUUGGGCUAAUACCGGAUACGUGCGAGAGCAGAAAGAUUUAUCGCUGAGGGAUCGGCCCGCGUCUGAUUAGCUAGUUGGUGGGGUAAUGGCCCACCAAGGCGACGAUCAGUAGCUGGUCUGAGAGGAUGAUCAGCCACAUUGGGACUGAGACACGGCCCAAACUCCUACGGGAGGCAGCAGUGGGGAAUAUUGGACAAUGGGCGCAAGCCUGAUCCAGCCAUGCCGCGUGAGUGAUGAAGGCCUUAGGGUUGUAAAGCUCUUUCGUCCGGGACGAUAAUGACGGUACCGGAAGAAGAAGCCCCGGCUAACUUCGUGCCAGCAGCCGCCGCGGUAA
rnacentral:rRNA from 1 species